rnacentral:tRNA from 1 species
GGGGUUGUGGCUCAGUGGUAGAGUAUUCGCCUAGCAUGUGAAAGACGCUGGGUUCAAUCCUCAGCAUCACAU